GAUGAACGCUGGCGGCGUGCCUAAUACAUGCAAGUCGAGCGAAUGGAUUAAGAGCUUGCUCUUAUGAAGUUAGCGGUGGACGGGUGAGUAACACGUGAGUAACCUGCCCAUAAGACUGGGAUAACUCCGGGAAACCGGGGCUAAUACCGGAUAACAUUUUGAACCGCAUGGUUCGAAAUUGAAAGGCGGCUUCGGCGGUCACUUAUGGAUGGACCCGCGUCGCAUUAGCUAGUUGGUGAGGUAACGGCUCACCAAGGCAACGAUGCGUAGCCGACCUGAGAGGGUGAUCGGCCACACUGGGACUGAGACACGGCCCAGACUCCUACGGGAGGCAGCAGUAGGGAAUCUUCCGCAAUGGACGAAAGUCUGACGGAGCAACGCCGCGUGAGUGAUGAAGGCUUUCGGGUCGUAAAACUCUGUUGUUAGGGAAAAACAAGUGCUAGUUGAAUAAGCUGGCACCUUGACGGUACCUAACCAGAAAGCCACGGCUAACUACGUGCCAGCCGCCGCGGUAA
rnacentral:rRNA from 1 species